rnacentral:rRNA from 1 species
UACGUAGGGGGGCAAGCGUUGUCCGGAUUUAUUGGGCGUAAAGAGCGUGUAGGCGGCCAAGCAGGUCCGCUGUGAAAACUCGAGGCUCAACCUCGAGACGUCGGUGGAAACCGUUUGGCUAGAGUCCGGAAGAGGAGAGUGGAAUUCCCGGUGUAGCGGUGAAAUGCGCAGAUAUCGGGGAAGAACACCCGUGGCGAAGGCGGCUCUCUGGGACGGUACUGACGCUGAGACGCGAAAAGCGUGGGGAGCGAACAGG